UACGUAGAAGACUAGUGUUAAUCAUCUUUAUUAGGUUUAAAGGGUACGUAGACGGUAAAUUAAACCCAAAGAGAGGUACUUUUUUACUAGAGUUUAAUAAGAGAAGGGGAGAAUUUUUGGAGUAAAGAUAAAAUUUGUUGAUACCAAAAGGACUGGUAAAGGCGCAGGCGACCUUCUAAUAAAACUGACGUUGAGGGAGCGAAAGGCUUGGGUAUCGAUAAGG
rnacentral:rRNA from 1 species